rnacentral:rRNA from 1 species
UACGUAGGGGGCUAGCGUUAUCCGGAAUUACUGGGCGUAAAGGGUGCGUAGGCGGUCUUUCAAGCCAGAAGUGAAAGGCUACGGCUCAACCGUAGUAAGCUUUUGGAACUGUAAGACUUGAGUGCAGGAGAGGAGAGUGGAAUUCCUAGUGUAGCGGUGAAAUGCGUAGAUAUUAGGAGGAACACCAGUGGCGAAGGCGAUUCUCUGGACUGUAACUGACGCUGAGGCUCGAAAGCGUGGGGAGCAAACAGGAUUAGAUACCCUGGUAGUCCCU